rnacentral:tRNA from 5 species
ACGAGCGUAGCUCAGUUGGUUAGAGCACCACCUUGACAUGGUGGGGGUCGGUGGUUCAAAUCCACUCGUUCGUACCA